rnacentral:rRNA from 1 species
UGCAAAGGUAGCAUAAUCGUUAGUUUUUUAAUUGGAAUCUUGUAUGAAUGGUUGGACAAAAAAAAAUCUGUCUUUAUAUUGUUUAUUGAAUUUAACUUUUAAGUGAAAAGGCUUAAAUAAAUUAAAGGGACGAUAAGACCCUAUAAAGCUUAAUAUUAACAUUUUACUUAGUUAAAUUUUCUUGUUUAUAAAAACUUAGUAAUUGAAUUUAUUUUAUUGGGGCGAUAAAGGUAAAAUGACUACUAACUGCUUAAUUUUUUUAUACAUUUAUAAAUGAAUUAGGAAAUAAAUGAUCCUUAAUAUAAAGAUUAAAAGUUUAAGUUACUUUAGGGAUAACAGCGUUAUUUUUCUUAAGAGUACAUAUCGAAAGAAAAUUUUGCGACCUCGAUGUUGAAUUAAAAUACCUUUAUAAUUGCAGCAGUUAUAUAAGUAGGUCUGUUCGACCUUUAAAAUUUUACAUGAUU